GACAGAGGAUGCAAACGUUGCUCGGAAUUACUGGGCGUAAAGCGCGCGCAGGCGGUUUCGUAAGUCGGGUGUGAAAGCCCCGGGCUUAACCCGGGAAGUGCAUUCGAUACUGCGGGACUAGAGUACUGGAGAGGAGAGCGGAAUUCCCGGUGUAGAGGUGAAAUUCGUAGAUAUCGGGAGGAACACCAGUGGCGAAGGCGGCUUUCUGGGGCAUUCCUGACGCUGAGAAGCGAAAGCUAGGGGAGCAAACAGG
rnacentral:rRNA from 1 species